GACGAACGCUGGCGGCGUGCUUAACACAUGCAAGUCGAACGGGUCUGCCCUGUUUUUUGCGGGGUGGGUCAGUGGCGAACGGGUGAGUAACACGUGAGUAACCUGCCCCUCACUUCUGGAUAACCGCUUGAAAGGGUGGCUAAUACGGGGUGUUCUGGCUGUGCCGCAUGGUGUGGCUGGGAAAGAUUCACUUUUGUGGUGUUUUGGUGGGGGAUGGGCUCGCGGCCUAUCAGCUUGUUGGUGGGGUGAUGGCCUGCCAAGGGUUUGGCGGGUAGCCGGCCUGAGAGGGUGGGCGGUCACACUGGGACUGAGAUACGGCCGAGACUCCUGCGGGAGGCAGCAGUGGGGGGUAUUGCACAAUGGGCGGAAGCCUGAUGCAGCGACGUCGCGUGAGGGAUGGAGGCCUUCGGGUUGUGAACCUCUUUCGCCGGUGAAGAAGGUCCUGCUCUUUGUGGUGGGGUUGACGGUAGCCGGGUUAUGAAGCGCCGGCUAACUACGUG
rnacentral:rRNA from 1 species